rnacentral:rRNA from 1 species
GAUGAACGCUGGCGGCGUGCCUAAUACAUGCAAGUCGAGCGAACAGACGAGGAGCUUGCUCCUCUGACGUUAGCGGCUGACGGGUGAGUAACACGUGGAUAACCUACCUAUAAGACUGGGAUAACUUCGGGAAACCGGAGCUAAUACCGGGUAAUAUAUUGUACCGCAUGGUUCAAUAGUGCAAGACGGUUUUGCUGUCACUUAUAGAUAGCUCCGCGCCGCAUUAGCUUGUUUGUAAGGUAACGGCUUACUAAGGCAACGAUGCCUAGGGGACUUGAAAGGUUGAUCGGCCACACUGGUUCUUGUACACAGUCCAGUCUCCUACGCUAGGCCGCAGUCGGCAAUUCGCCGCAACGGGCGCAAGGCUGACGUAGCAACGUCGCCAGAGUGAGGAAGGCCUUGGGAUCGUAAAACUCUGCUAGUAGGGGAGAACAAAAGUGUAAGUAACUGUGCACGUUUUGACGGUACCUAAGCAGAGAGCCAAGGCUAACUACGUG